CGGGGGAGGGCUCUCGGUCCCGCCGCGUCCCGUCCCGUCCCGUCCCGCGGCUGCUCCACGGCUUUCCCCCGUUGCAGGCUCGCCGGGAUUGGCGUUCAAACCGCGCUGGGGAAGAUGGAAAUUAAAACGAGGUUUGUUCCCCUCGCACCUCCCGAGGCCGGGCAGGGUGAGCAGCUCGCAGCGCUGGAAGAUCCUCGAGCCGUGCGUAGGGGUGGGGAGGGACGAGCCCUGGGGCUGUGGGCAGGGAACGUCCCCAAUUCCAGUCCCAAGGAAUUUUGGUUCCUAUGAAACAACUGCAAAAAUGUCACCGGCCCCAAAGGGGCAGGAGGUGGAACUGGAGUUUAAAAAGCCAACCAGGCCAACUUAAACGAGUUUCAAAGGUGAGAACUGGCAGCAAACACUGGAAAGUAAAGGGUUUGUUUAAAAAGUGUGUGGAAAUUUGCAGGGCCUUAGCAAUAACAAGAACAAAAAUGUGUGCUGGACUCCAAAACUAAUGAGGGUUUUGCUAUAAAAAAGGUGUUUUUUUCCAGAUAAAUGGAGUAAAGCUACUUGAGCUUUAGUCUGGCUGAGGCAAAGCAAAAAUCAGAGUGUGUGUGAGAUGCAGGAUAACAAACUGUAUUUGUACUGGGGGAAGAGGUGGAUCCUCCAGAGAAAAUGGCAUCAGCCCCUGGAAUACGGGUGUGACUCCAACAGUUGCUGUGCCAGAGGGUGCUGGGGACGAAUUGUUCUCCCUCUCCCUUUAAUACCGUGAUCAGUAACUCCUGGAGCACAGUAAAAUCCUGAUGGAGUGAUCAAAGCAUGCUUGAAUUGCAAAGCAGUGAUUCUUCUCUCAUCAUCUCAGCCUGGGAAAUGUAGAAUUCCCAAUCCCACCCCAAAAUCAGUCCAAUUCCUCACCUGGAAUAUCAAUGGUGGUGUGAAAACACCUCAGAGUGAGAGCCAAGGGCUCGUUGCUCAUGCAGCUCCUUUCCUUUUCAAAACCCACCCUUGCACGGACAGAAUCCAUUAAUAUUUUUAGCAAGUUUUUGUUGUGCUUUCCUAGCAACAGCCAAUUCCUUAAUGAUUAAUCCCCAAACAGUGGCAAAUCUGCAAAUUUGGGAAUGCAUGCUGAAGUCACCCAUGCUGCCUGACGUCAGCAUUGCAUAAUCUGUUGACUGUCCCCUUUUUAUGUAAUGUAUGUUUGGAGUUUGUUUUAAAAUGUACAAAUGUGGUUUUUUUUUUUCCCCUGCGUGCUGCUCCUCUGAUAUUCCAUGUUUGCCUCUCCAUUGCCCUCUGGAGUUGCAAACUUGUAAGGCAGCGUGUUCACGGCUGGAUCCAGCCGAGUGUUUUGUGUUUCUGUCUUAAAAACAGCCCUCUGGAGCAUCUCUGCACCUUCUUUUUGCCAGGUGAGUUAUUUAGAGUGUUAAAAAAAACCCCAAUUUUUGGAGUUUCUGCUUCCUCUUGGUGGAAACGUGGAAACUUCUUGUGCUGCUGGAGUCCAUCAACAUCAUAAAUAGAUUUUAUUGGAAACUUGGUAACACAUUAACUCGGGCAGCCUAAAACCGUGGUGUUUUUUUUUAAACUCGUUUCAGAACUUGAUGUAUCUGAUUUCCUCAGGCAACCUGGGGGUUGUAGGAAUAAUUUGGUGAUGUUUUCAAGAAUGCCUGGUUUUAGGGAAUGAAAAAACCAAGAAAGGGGUAAAGUUGUAGAAAUACACAACAAAGUGGGGGAUGAAGAAGUAGUUUCGUGAUCUUUUCAGCAGUGCCUGUUUUUAAAGAAGAGAAAAAAACAGGCUGAUGAAAAUAUAGGUUGAUGGAAGCUUGUAAUUUAACUAAUUAAUGGGAUUGUGUGUGUCAAAUGUUUUUAUGUGGAUUUGAUGACCUAAAAACGCCACCUCAGACACCUGGAGGCCCCUCUUUGCUUCCUGCAGCUGCAGUCCCUGUGAGCACAGCUGGCACCGGGGGCUGCUCCCCUCGGCGAGGAUCAGCCGUGCUGGCUCUGGAGACACACGUGCCAAGCUCCAGAGGAGCCCAGGGAAGGUGUGGGAUGGGCUGGAAAAUCCCAGCUCCUGGAAAAUCAAGCAGCUGGAGCCUGGCAGGCUCAGGGCACAGUGUCGUGCCCGUGGUGAUGCUGCUGUCCCAGAGUGGCUCCAGCAGCUUUCCUGGCUGCCUGCCACUGUCCCCACUGCUCCCUGACACCCAAUACGAGCAGCAUGAGCCAAGGGCUGGCUGGAUUUAAGGGGGAGGAAGGGCUGGCUCCAUGUAGGAGGCUUGGUUACUCUUUCUCCAUUAAAUCCAGCGUGGGUGGAAUUGCCCAGAAGAAGCCGCCGCUUCAAACCACUCAGAGCUGCCGCCGUGGUCAUUAAGAUAACGCUAAUUAUGUGGGUAAUUUCCUGGAGUGAACCUCAGCUGCAAAGCCACUUGUGUUAAAGCUCCUGAGGCUUUCACCUGCGGGGUGAGGCAGGGUUUUGGGGACACUGAGGACGCCGAGGACUCGGCAGUGCCACGGAGGGGCCAAUGACUGCCAGGCUGCCCUGGCUCAGUUAUCACAGUGCUGAUGCUGUCUCUUGUAAAGGUACAGUACUGUGAUAACUGAAGGAUGGCAGCCAUCUGAGCUUCACGGCAUCCUGGGGCCACCAGAGCCACCCAGCCCUGCUCCACCGCAGCCUGCUCGUUUCACCUGGAGCCCUUGGUGGAAAAAUCACGUUUAUUUCAAUAAAAUAUUACACACUUUGCCUCGA